rnacentral:sRNA from 1 species
CUCUAAACCCGAUAGUAGCGGAAAGCCCGCAGCAAGGCGAGGACUUGUAGUGGAUAGCGGGGCAGGCC